CUGGCGGCAGGCCUAACACAUGCAAGUCGAGCGGUAGCACAGAGAGCUUGCUCUCGGGUGACGAGCGGCGGACGGGUGAGUAAUGUCUGGGAAACUGCCUGAUGGAGGGGGAUAACUACUGGAAACGGUAGCUAAUACCGCAUAAUGUCGCAAGACCAAAGUGGGGGACCUUCGGGCCUCAUGCCAUCAGAUGUGCCCAGAUGGGAUUAGCUAGUAGGUGGGGUAACGGCUCACCUAGGCGACGAUCCCUAGCUGGUCUGAGAGGAUGACCAGCCACACUGGAACUGAGACACGGUCCAGACUCCUACGGGAGGCAGCAGUGGGGAAUAUUGCACAAUGGGCGCAAGCCUGAUGCAGCCAUGCCGCGUGUGUGAAGAAGGCCUUCGGGUUGUAAAGCACUUUCAGCGGGGAGGAAGGCGGUAAGGUUAAUAACCUCAUCGAUUGACGUUACCCGCAGAAGAAGCACCGGCUAACUCCGUGCCAGCAGCCGCGGUAAUACGGAGGGUGCAAGCGUUAAUCGGAAUUACUGGGCGUAAAGCGCACGCAGGCGGUCUGUCAAGUCGGAUGUGAAAUCCCCGGGCUCAACCUGGGAACUGCAUUCGAAACUGGCAGGCUAGAGUCUUGUAGAGGGGGGUAGAAUUCCAGGUGUAGCGGUGAAAUGCGUAGAGAUCUGGAGGAAUACCGGUGGCGAAGGCGGCCCCCUGGACAAAGACUGACGCUCAGGUGCGAAAGCGUGGGGAGCAAACAGGAUUAGAUACCCUGGUAGUCCACGCCGUAAACGAUGUCGAUUUGGAGGUUGUGCCCUUGAGGCGUGGCUUCCGGAGCUAACGCGUUAAAUCGACCGCCUGGGGAGUACGGCCGCAAGGUUAAAACUCAAAUGAAUUGACGGGGGCCCGCACAAGCGGUGGAGCAUGUGGUUUAAUUCGAUGCAACGCGAAGAACCUUACCUGGUCUUGACAUCCACAGAACUUUCCAGAGAUGGAUUGGUGCCUUCGGGAACUGUGAGACAGGUGCUGCAUGGCUGUCGUCAGCUCGUGUUGUGAAAUGUUGGGUUAAGUCCCGCAACGAGCGCAACCCUUAUCCUUUGUUGCCAGCGGUCCGGCCGGGAACUCAAAGGAGACUGCCAGUGAUAAACUGGAGGAAGGUGGGGAUGACGUCAAGUCAUCAUGGCCCUUACGACCAGGGCUACACACGUGCUACAAUGGCAUAUACAAAGAGAAGCGACCUCGCGAGAGCAAGCGGACCUCAUAAAGUAUGUCGUAGUCCGGAUUGGAGUCUGCAACUCGACUCCAUGAAGUCGGAAUCGCUAGUAAUCGUAGAUCAGAAUGCUACGGUGAAUACGUUCCCGGGCCUUGUACACACCGCCCGUCACACCAUGGGAGUGGGUUGCAAAAGAAGUAGGUAGCUUAACCUUCGGGAGGGCGCUUACCACUUUGUGAUUCAUGACUGGGGUGAAGUCGUAACAAGGUAACCGUAGGG
rnacentral:rRNA from 1 species